ensembl:lncRNA
CCUUAUCUGCUCUCGAGAGCUGUGACUCUUCAUCCUUUCCUUAUGAAGACCCAGGGGAUUGCUUACUUAGCAUCCACCAGAGGCAAUGGAUAGGGUGAGCAGUCACUGCAGCCAGAAAAGCCCAGCACGGAGCAAAGGCAAUUACCUCCGCACGCAGAGACUUUGGAGCUGAAUUGUGCUGAACGGAGAACCCCUCCGGCUGGCAGAGCCAUGUGCGGCCGAGAAGAGCAGCCACUUUCGCUCCGCUGAAAAGCAAUGCAGGAACCCUCGUGGUGUACGGUGCUGCUGGGUGCAAUCAUUAAGGCAAUGAGCAAACACUCUCCACUUGUUGUCCAACUUUGAAGACGGGCAGAUCUACAAGAUACUCAGGAAAGCCAAUAAUGAAUUUGGAAGAUGUGAGGAUUUAUUAUAAGAUAAUUCUGAAUGUCCCCAGAAGCUCUGCUCCUAAAGCAGAAGUGCAAUAGUGCUCAAGGAGGAUUAAAGGACUAGGAUCGAGUACUUCCUAAAUACUGCUGCCUGCCCCUGUUCUAAACAACAGCUCAAAAAUAACAUACUUGCCUCUUCCGAGGGCUGUUCAAGAAGUAUAGGUAUGCACCCAAAAUAUAUCCAGAAGUUGAAAGAUCAGGCUCAACAUUUUGCAAAAAUAUUCCUACAGGGCAGUUUGACCUUCAGAAGAUACAGAACUGGCCCACGGUUCCUCUUUCUCUGAAGCUUUAGAAAAGAAUUCUGACAUAGGGCAUUUUGGUGGGUAGUUCAAUGCAAUGAACUUAAAAAAUAAGGCCAUGGAAGUACAACUACUGAUAAGCUCAGUGAUCAGUGACAGACUGCAAAACAGACAUCUGAUUUGCACAGAAACAUCUGGAGGGAGCUCCAAAUGCUCUGUGCUUGGUUCUGAGUCUCUGGGACUUGGCUCGUGGAAUUUUUAAUGUUCUUUUAAUCUCUUUUGAACAUAAAUAAGAGGGGAAGAGCAUGUGAACUUAACGAGUGUUUGCUUCAACAACAGCUUCAGAGACAUGUACACUUUCUGAACAUAACUUUAACAUUACAUUUCAUAUCCAUUUCACCUAGCCCUGGCAAGGCUAAGCCCCUGGGGUCCUAUUCACAAAUACUCAUGGCAGCCAGCGAGGGAAGGAUUCCAAGUCAGGAGGAACAUCAUAUCCCUGGUGUGUCAGUCAGUACUUUGUUCAGAGGGAAAGACGACGAAGCAAGACAGAAGGCUGCUGAAAACACAGAUGCUCACAUUUCUCCCACUAGAAACAGAACAAGAAUUUAUUUUCUUUUAUCAUAAAUCACAGGUUUUCUCUUAACGCUAUGCUUUAGACCUUCAGUCAGGGCUUAUGGCAGUAUAGAACCGCAUGCUCAAGUAAAUAUAAACUAUCUGGUGGAAAUGUCUUUCCUUAUUUCUCUUUCUACUGCUGCCCCAUCUGAUUGAUUUGUUGAUUACUGGAGAAUUUGCU